GUUUUGGUUUGGUGGGGGUGUUUUGAUAACUGACUCAAUUUCACUGCUAGGAAUUGGUCCGAUAAAAUUUUCUAUUUCUUC